UACGUAGGGGGCAAGCGUUGUCCGGAUUUAUUGGGCGUAAAGAGCGUGUAGGCGGCUUUACAGGUCCGUUGUGAAAACUCGAGGCUCAACCUCGAGACGCCGGUGGAAACCGUAAGGCUAGAGUCCGGAAGAGGAGAGUGGAAUUCCUGGUGUAGCGGUGAAAUGCGCAGAUAUCAGGAGGAACACCGGUGGCGAAGGCGGGCAUC
rnacentral:rRNA from 1 species